GAAGAGAUAACUCCUUGUUUGAACCAAAUAUUUGUCAACACUGAUAACAAAGAAAGAAGUGCCAACAUAAAAUAAUCGGUGCCACACCGUGAUCGAUAACCAAGCACAGGUAUAGCGGGAAUAAAUGGAAGCUUUUUACCUCCCUGGCGAUCACUGAUCCGCCAUCCACAAUCAGGGGGGGAAUGAUCAACAACACCUCCACAUAAAAUCACAAGCAUGUCAUCUCAAGUGAGACGCAUCGCUCAGGAUUUCCUUCUACAAGUUUAAUAUCAGUAUUUGUUUGCCUCUCUCAUUAUGUAUGGAAAUAUGGAAAUAUAAAUGUUCAAAAGCAAA